UUUCUCAAGUAGAGGAAUUCCUAUAAGAUAGGAAUAUUAGUUUAUACUUUCUUAAAGUUCAUAAGAGUUAGUAUAUUGGUUAGUUUAGUUGAUUCAACCCUAGCUCUGCAGAAGAUUAAAAGUUUAUUGGGAUGUUAUUUAUAGCUAAUUCUUCUUAUCUAGUUAUCCAAUCUUAUUUUAGAAUCUUGCUAUUAUGAAGGUGACAGUAGCAAUGAUAGAUAAGUGAGCAAGAGUUUCUACAUCGUUAAGCGUAUCAGGUGGGCUUUCUAAACUCAUAAUUUGAAGUGCGCACUAUUUAAUUAUGUUAUUAUAUGAAUGAAGUUAUAUUAAAGUUAUUGACUUGCCAAAACUUUUAUGAGCUUGUAUGUUACCAUCUACGAGAGAUAGACGAUAUCGGCCCUAUGCUGAAGCGAGAUGUCAGUAAGGGUUUGUGCACAUAGUUGUGACCGUGAGUCAUCGAGCGGGUUGGCCGGUCACUGUGAUCGGGAGCCUUCGGGCCGAUCACUGUGUUUGAGAAGGAGGCCUACUUCUCAACACAAGGUUACAUGAUGCGUAGUUAUGGUACAUACAUGUUAAUUGUCUGCAGACGUAUAUGAUAUUAUGAUGAUAUAUAUAUAGAAGUUUUACAGUUUUGGCGUGCACAGGUUAUUUAAAUAAAACUCCUGUGUGAUGCUUGAGAUGGCAAGUUCAAUAUAUAGCUCUAAGAGCAAACUUUAAAGUUAUUUCGGCAUGUGACCAUUGAGUACCUUUUUAGUACUCAGCCCUGCAUAUGUUUCUAAAUGUGCAGGUUAAGCUGUGAUGCAGAUGGAGGCGAGCAGAGCAAAGCUUUUGAAGUAUAAGUAUUAAAUUAGGCUCAGGAUUUCAUGUCUUCAUACAUGUAAUCCACUUAAGUUAUUCCGCUGCAACACUUAGUGUAUUUUACUUUAUUGAUGUGUUGUACAGAUUUUAAACCAAUAGCUUCGAAAAUUAUGUCACUUGAAAAUUUGACAACUUGUCGUUAUGUAUUGUGAGUUGUCUGCUUUGAGUUUUAGAAAAGAUUGUUUAUGAUUACCAAAUAUUUAGGUAAAUUAUUGUUUAAGCAAGAUGAUUAUUUUUAUUGAAACCUCUUUUAUUUUCCAUUUUCUUUUUCCAUUUCCCCAGUCACAUUUUCCCCGGCUUAACUGUUGUUAGCUUAGGUCGGGCUGUGACAGAGUGGUAUCAGAGCAGGUCAUUUGCUCUGAGCCUAAAUAUCCUUUUGAGUCUAGUCUAAAUUUGAAUCUUUGGACUAGUAUGAGUAAUAUAGUAAAAGCUCUGCUCUCCAUCUCAUCCAGCUUAGCCAGGUACGGAUUUUUCAGAGUUUUAAAGUAGCAUGUUACAUUUUUAAACAAGUUUGAGAUAUGAGUUGCAGUUUUGCAAGUAUUAGUAUGAUGGAAACUUAUAUAUUUUAAAAUGAGCAUGGACAACAUGAGUUAUUUUUGAGUAUCCUCUGCCUAUACGAACUUUUGGAUUUGAAUGGAUAAAAGUGUUAUUCAUAUAUUAAUAUUUAUAUUUUGAUAUGUGGAUGGAGAUAUAGACAGUUUGAUGAUACAAUAAUGAUGUAUAUCAGUCGCGAUGUAACCUAGUACUAGUAGUGAUGUUAUACAGUUAGGGCACCACAAUUAGUACUAAGAGCUUUUUGCAACAUAUAUUCCUAUCUUUCGUAUGAGAACUCAUUGAGGCAAAUUUUCCCAUGAUAUGAAACGACCGAAGUAGUCAUUUACUAGGUUGUUGAGCUUUAAUUGCUUAGAUGAUUGAAAUUUUGUGUAUGAGUUUUAUACUUUAGUUGGUUUAUAGUUAUGUAGCAGUUUGACUUUACGGAUGGAAUAAAAGCUCAAUUAUGGGGAUUUUGUGUAUUUACUCGGCAUGAUAUCUCAAAGAAGAAAUGGAAAUUUGCCAUCCGCCAUGUGAAUAAUUUAGAGGAAAGUUUUUCAUCAUCAAGAUCCCCCUAUUCAUAGUAGAGUUUCACGAGUUUCGCUUCCUUAGAUGCAAUGAUCAAGAGCGCCUUCUUGUAUGUUAUUUCAACUACAAGGAUCGACUGAUUCUUAGUGGGAGACGAAGCAGAAGAUACAUACCCUCGAGCGAUUAGAGAAUCUUAUUUGGGGCCACGUCACAGAAGUUUCUAUGAAGAACAUGUUCCCAGAAGCUACCAUAAGCAAAUGAAGAUGAUCGUGGUUGAAUAUGAUUGAGAGUUUUGAGACAUAUCUCGAUAUACGCCUUAUAAGGUUGAAACAUAGAGUAGUUGUAACUUUUGAUAGAGUUUUGAUGUAGUGCCUUUACUUGUUGGCAAACCAAAUAUUCUUUCAGCUAUUGCAAGCCAAACAUUCCUUCAACUAAUGAAGAUAUCUCUUUUCCAUUUCAUCCCUCCCACCAAAAGUUUUGUUUGAAAUCUUGAUAUAAUUUAGUGCUUCUGUGGUGGGCAGUAUAUAGCGUAUCAUGAGCUUUACUCGUGAUUUUAUUUCUCAACUGUUCAGUAUUGGGUACACAACUUUUCUCAAACAUGAUAGCAGUACCCCUAGCUUUUUGGCAAGUAUUGACCCCUUCUAUCAAAAUCCUUACCCAUAAUUUUUCUCCUUUUUAUUUUCCCCAUGUACUUUAACAAUUCUUCUUCUCAAAUCAAAAAUCAUUGUUAACAUUGCAAUUACAGCUUCUCUUGUUUGCUGUGGUAGAACCAUUUGUAAAUCCAACUUUCAAAUCCUUGAUGAGAAUUUUUCUUCAUGGGUAAGGAGAAAUCCUUAGUAAACUUGAGUUUUUCUACUCAAGGCAUCCACUACUAUAUUGGCUUUGCGUGGGUGAUAAUUUAUUCUACAAUCAUAGUCCCUUACUAAUUCGAGCUAUAUUCCUUGUCUCACACUUAGAUCUUUUGCUCGAAUAAGUAUUUUAAACUUUUAUGAGGUGUAUCAAUUCCACAUCUCGUUUCAGAAUACCAUUGUUGCUAGUUCCAAGUUAUGUUGAGCAAUUCAGUUCUUGUGGUCUAUGUUCUCAUGACCCAAUAACAAUAACUCUUUCACUUUGCAACAAUGCACAACCAAGUCCAUCUUUGAUACACAGGACCAAUUUUAUAUGGUCUUUCAACUUUGAGAAUUCGGCCAUAUUUUAAAAUAGCCUUUCAUCCAACAACAGAUGAGCAAUUUGAGAGAAAUCUUUAAACCUUAGAAGAUGUGACAUAGACUAUUGUACUAGAGCGAAGAAGUGGCGACCUUAGCAGUAGGGACACUGGCGAUCGUAAGAAAUUCUGGGUUCCAAAACUCUCUUUCCAAAAAUGAUUUUUCAGAAGGAGCGAAUUCCCCGCAAACAAGGCAGGAGACGACUAUCUCAAGGUGCAUCACGCGUACUCAGAAGCCGCAUUAUGCACUAGCUUGAAGGAUGAAUUGGGAAAACCUUUUGCUAGUAAUUGAAUUGGCCUACAAUUAUAGCUUUCGGGCAAUAAUUGAUAUGACACCAUAUGGAGCUUAUUGUGGAAAGAAAUAUUGAUCUCCACUCUAUUGACAUGAGGUAAGUGAAAGAAAAGUAACAGGACCUGAUGCGCUUGAAGAAAUGAUUACGCUUAUCCGACAAAUUCAACAACUGCUCAACGAACCUCAAGAGCGACAGAAAUUUUUUUUUUUUUUUUUUUUAGAUACUCGUUGAUUUGAUUUGAAAUUUUUGAAAUAGGGGAUGAAGUUUUUCUCAGUGUUCCGCAUUCUAAGAAUGCACAAAUUCGAUGUGAAAGAGAAGUAUCUAGCAUUAUUCUCUGACGUAGUCAAAUUUCGAGGACGAAAUUUCUUUAAGGGGGAGAGGAUGUAACACCCAGCAUUUUCACUACAGUAUAUAUAUUAUUUUCUAUUAUCUAAAAGAAGAAAGAGAAGUAGAAUCACUGAGAUGAGAUGAGAUAUUAUUAUAAUACCUUGAGCUUUUAAUUCAAUGAUUGCAUAAUUUGAAUAAUUAAGUAUUCUUGCUUUCUUUAUUAUUUUCAUUCUUGGAAGCAAGUUUAUAAUUCCUAGUUAAAGGGAUUAUUUUAUUAUUUUUCAGAGAUGAGAUUGGUGAUAAAUACGAAAUAUUAUUAGUCGACUUAUUGCUCGGCUAAUUGAAGUGACGGAUGUUAUUUAAUUAUUUAUCUAUGAGUUUUUUUUUUUAAUAGUGAUAGUUUGAGGAAAUUUAGUAUAUGUAUAUAGAAUUGUAUUAUAUUUCAUUGGGUGUAUAAUAAUUUAUUAAUUUAGAUAGCUAUCAAAUACUACUUGAGCUUGGAGCACAAGUUUCGUGAGUCAUAUUAGUGUAGAGAAUUGCUUUUCUAAUUUAUUCUUAUUUUAUUUGAUCUAAUUUUGAGGGCACAAAAUACUUAAGGAAAAGCCAAGUUUCCUCAUAUUAUGUAGAGAAUUGCUUUUCUAAUUUAUUCUUAUUUUUAUUUGAUCUAAUUUUGAGGGCCACAAAAUAAGGCUUAUAGGAAAAGCCAAGUUUUCCUCUUAUUAUUUAUUUCUUCUACAAACCUCAAAUGGGCCGAUCAGUAAGGGAAAUGAGGUUUGAAUUAUAUUGCUCAUUUCUAUAAUUGGAUUUAAAUUUUUAAUGUUUGAGAUAAGCAUUUAUUUAUUGUAAAGUGUAUAUAUUAGUUUGAGGAGAUUCAUUUCCUUUUCUUCUCCCCAAAACAGUCGACCUUCUCCCCUCUCUCUUUAUGGAACCUCAGUUUGAGUUUACUUUCAACCUUCAAGAAGAUUCAGCCGCCGCCUCUGCUCCGACCGUCGUCGGCUGCCGUCGGGUCCAAGUCCGGCGUCUCGUCUGUUCUUCCCUGGUGCCCCUCGCACUACUCUCAUCUUCUCUCAAUUUAGCGAAGAACCCAAAUGAGAAGCCCUAAUUUCAAAAUCCGAAAUCGCCGUCACCCGAGCCCGAAAUUCGGCAAUACAGCAGCCUCCUCUUCAACGUGGUCGAAGUUCUCGCACCGGAAGUCCUCGCCGUUCCCCCUCUUUUUCGAUGUGGAGCCCUAAUUAUUAGAAGAAGGAAAUUACUACUGUCGCGACUGGAAGGCCAACGAACGGCUGAGCUUCGCCCAUCUCUGCCUUGAAUCCAUGCUCGAGAAUGAGAGAAAGGGAAACGAGCUCUAAUUCUUUUCUACUCCCGCCGUCAUGGUUCGGCUGCCACCUCCGCCGUCUGUGGAAGACCGGCGAUUCAGCGGCGCCGCUCCAUUCACGACGCCGCUACUGCUGCUACACGAUCCCCUCCGAGGCAGGAAGCGCUGCUGUCAUCAUCGUCGUCUUGGCUCGACUGAACAGGGUAGCGUCCCUCGUCGUCGAAAAGUUAAGUAUUCUACUUGUUAUUGUAGAAAGUGUUUGAUGUUGCUUGUGAUUUCUGAGUUCAUGCCAUAAUAAUCGAGGCAUAGGUGACUUCUCUCUAAGAUUCCUAAAGUGAGAUAUUAAACAAAAUGUUAUAUGUUUCUAAGUUAGUAAUUACUUUAAAUUAAGUAAAAUGAUGGCAGGAAUCAUAGCUUCAGCCCAAAGCUUCGAUUUUUGACCCUCCCUCAAGAACCCCAGAAUUUCAUCUUCUUUAUAUUUGUAUCAAUUGACUAUGUAUACAUGUCUAUAUGUAUGUGAAGAAUUGAUUGGGAUUUUAUUUGGGUAUUUAUUCACAAGAAAACAUGAUUCCCUAAUAGUUUAGUUUAAGUGGAUUUGGGAGUUCUUGGAAUAAGCUAGCUACAUGUUUGAUGCUUGUGUAAUUGUACUCCUUGAAUUGUAAAAUGAGAUUAUAUGACAAUAGUUGGAGGAUAUCAAGCAUGCUACUAUAUGUUGAUGUGUUGAACAUGAAUUACGUUUAAGCUAAAGCAUGCUAAUGUGUAGUAAGAUGAUGUAUUUGAGUUACUAUAGCUUUUAUUUGAUAAAAAUAUGAGUUAUAUGUUGAGUUGAGAUGAAGAAGGUAUUGCUGUUGGUUUUGCUGUACAGGACAGUACCUUGUAAGGUAUUUUCGGGAGUGUUCCUGUGUUCGAAAUGAUUUGAAAUUUUUACAGUAAUUACUUCAUUAUGAGUAUUAGAUCUCUGCAAAAUUUCAGCUAAAUCCGAGACCAAUAGACAUGUCAAACUAUUUUCUGAAAUGUACUGCACGGAGCAGCAGAGUUCAGUGCAGAUUCUGUCUUUGGUCAUAUAACUUCUUAUCCACUUGAGAUUUUGUGUUUUUGUAAAUUUCUGAGAAAUAUAGACAUCAAUAGCUUUCUAAAAAGGUAAAACUCGUAUUUUUCCUUGAAGCGAUUGAUUUUAUAUGAUUUUCCAAAGUUAGGAUUCAAAUGUGUAUGUGUCUUGAUUAAACUUGUGAUUGGUAGUUAAUUGAGAUCCUACACUACUAAACUUGAAUUAAGGUUUUAUUGUUCUAAUUACCUAUUGAGAAUUAUUGAUUACUAAGCUUGUUAAUAUGAUAGUUGAUGGACAUAAUUAUGCUUAUAUGAUUAAUUACUUUGGGAUUUUGUGUUUUACAUGUAUGGUUAGUUGUAAACUGAUCUCUAUGGAAUGGAUUUGUUUACUUCUAAACUUUCUUAAGUAGAGGAAUUCCUAUAAGAUAGGAAUAUUAGUUUAUACUUUCUUAAAGUUCAUAGAGUUAGUAUAUUGGUUAGUUUAGUUGAUGCAACCCUAGUAGUUUAUUGGGAUGUUAUUUAUAGCUAAUUCUUCUUAUCUAGUUAUCCAAUCUUAUUUUAGAAUCUUGCUAUUAUGAAGGUGACAGUAGCAAUGAUAGAUAAGUGAGCAAGAGUUUCUACAUCGUUAAGCGUAUCAGGUGGGCUUUCUAAACUCAGAAUUUGAAGUGCGCACUAUUUAAUGAUGUUAUUAUAUGAAUGAAGUUAUAUUAAAGUUAUUGACUUGCCAAAUUAUUUUAUGAGCUUGUAUGUUACCAUCUACGAGAGAUAGACGAUAUCGGCCCUAUGCUGAAGCGAGAUGUCAGUAAGGGUUUGUGCACAUAGUUGUGACCGUGAGUCAUCGAGCGGGUUGGCCGGUCACUGUGAUCGGGAGCCUUCGGGCCGAUCACUGUGUUUGAGAAGGAGGCCUACUUCUCAACACAAGGUUACAUGAUGCGUAGUUAUGGUACAUACAUGUUAAUUGUCUGCAGACGUAUAUGAUGUUAUGAUGAUAUAUAUAUAUAUAGAAGUUCUACAGUUUUGGCGUGCACAGGUUUUUUUUAAAUAAAACACAUGUGUGAU
rnacentral:lncRNA from 1 species